CACGUAGGGCGCAAGCGUUGUCCGGAAUUAUUGGGCGUAAAGAGCUCGUAGGCGGUCUGUUGCGUCCGCUGUGAAAACUCGGGGCUUAACCCCGAGCCUGCAGUGGAUACGGGCAGACUAGAGGUAGGUAGGGGAGAAUGGAAUUCCCGGUGUAGCGGUGAAAUGCGCAGAUAUCGGGAGGAACACCGGUGGCGAAGGCGACACGCUGGGCCGUACCUGACGCUAAAGCGCGACAGCAUGGGGAGCAAACGGG
rnacentral:rRNA from 1 species